AAAGAUGAAUUGGUGAGGAUUCCAAGGAGGAUCAGAAUGAUUUUUAAUCUUCACACUUUGACUAGUAAAAGUCUGGUAUGACUAUAAGACAUUUGCUCAUUGGGAAGGAGGGUGUACUGUAAAGAUCCCAGUGGCCUUGGACACUAUUCCAGUGUUUCAGCGAGGUGGAAGUGUGAUACCAAUAAAGACAACUGUAGGAAAAUCCACAGGCUGGAUGACUGAAUCCUCCUAUGGACUCCGGGUUGCUCUAAGCACUAAGGGUUCUUCAGUGGGUGAGUUAUAUCUUGAUGAUGGCCAUUCAUUCCAAUACCUCCACCAGAAGCAAUUUUUGCACAGGAAGUUUUCAUUCUGUUCCAGUGUUCUGAUCAAUAGUUCUGCUGACCAGAGGGGUCGUUAUCCCAGCAAGUGUGUGGUGGAAAAGAUCUUGGUCUUAGGCUUCAGGAAGGAGCCAUCUUCUGUGACUACCCACUCAUCUGAUGGUAAAGAUCAGCCUGUGGCUUUUACGUAUUGUGCCAAAACAUCCACCCUGAGCCUGGAGAAGCUCUCACUCAACAU
rnacentral:sRNA from 1 species